rnacentral:rRNA from 1 species
UACGUAGGGUCCAAGCGUUAUCCGGAAUCACUGGGCGUAAAGCGUGCGUAGGUGGAUGUUUAAGUGUAUUGCGAAAUCCUGUGGCUCAACCAUAUGGACUGUAAUGCAUACUGGAUAUCUAGAGGACGGCAGAGGCAAGUGGAAUUUGUAGUGUAGCAGUGAAAUGCGUAGAUAUUACAAGGAACACCAAUGGCGAAGGCAGCUUGCUGGGCCGACCCUGACACUGAGGUACGAAAGCGUGGGGAGCGAACGGG